CCGGUGGUGCUUUCUCAUGGCUCGCGGACGCGCUGUAGUAUAAAUGGCUGUUGAGUCCUCACAUCUACAUGGAACAACUCUAUCACCCCUUCCACGGCUUGGGGGACGUCAGGAAAGACGGGGACGAAGGUCGUGAGAGCUGGAGGAAGAGGCAGAGUGCUGUGCGGCGGCCAUGGCACGGAUCUUAUAUUCAGGAACUCACCGCAGCUGCUCUUACCUAUAUUAGAUCUGCGCUGGGCUGACUGGGUAGGUCAACAUUCCAUCUGAAGGCGUGAGGCACUCACGGCCUCCCUCCAUUCCCAGGGUGUCUAGGCAGAUCACAAAAGCCUCCAACCGUCUUUAAGGAGCAGUGGACAGCUAAUGGUUAUCAGAGGGUGGCAGUUUCUUCAGUGGUGUUCACUGGAAGUGGGAAGCAAGCACACUCUGAGUCCGGUCAUGUGACCAGUGAUUUAUCCAAUCAGACCCGUCAAGCAAAGCCAUGACUCAAGUCAGUGAGACUCAGAUGGAUGUCCUGGGAAGAAAAACAGAAAUUCCAAGAGCUUCGGGAACCCCAGGGGACUGGUUCAAGGAGCUUCCUGGAUCCUGAAGUUAUUAAUACCAAUAUCCUUAAUAUAAGAUGUCAUAGAGUUUACAUACAACUUGCAUAUCCCAUGGAUUUUGCUAGUAUUUAUAUGCAUGAAGCCAGAAGACAAUAGCAAAUAUCUUCCUAAACCACUCUCCUUCUGAGACCAGGUCUCCAACUGAGUUGGCAGGACUGGCCAAGGAGCUCUGGGAUCUGCCUGUCAGCCAACACUAUGAUCAUAAGCAUGCCACAGCAUUAUGAAUACUUAUACAGGUACAGGGCAUCUGAACACAGGUCCUCCUUCACUUUACCAACAGAGCCAGUCCUAGUCCCGUGAUAGAAAAUCUCAUUAGAUCACAGCUAUGCAAUAGCUGCUAUACUGGACCAUUUAAGGAAUGACAACUACGGAAAAAUGCACACGUCUGCUAUAGACACAAUUUUCAAAAGAUCAUUUUCAGUAAGUAGGUAGUUGAGCAUAUGCAUGAAGAAUUCACCGAAAAGGAGGGGCAGAGUUUACAGUGCUCUUGAGUUCUGUGUCAGUCUAGAGCAAAUUUUUGCAUCUAACAGAGGGUUGUGUAAGCCCAGAGUCUAUAUCCAAGUUGAAAAGGAGAAGAAGGACCAGGGGAACCCAGGACCUACAGCUGACGUCUGACACAACAGCACCCGAGUGAGGUAAGCCCAUAAUGUGUGGGCUGCAAAGACUCGGGACUGAAGUGAACUGAUGGACAUAUAGUGUUGGUGAAAGCCACUAAACCAACCUUCUCACAAAGGGCUAGUUGAGAACUUCUGAGACUCUGAUCAAGACAACCACCUCAGAAGCUGGAAGGACCAAGAGAUAGUGUGUGUCUGUGAAGCUAUAAAGGUUCUGGGAAACUCCUUAAAGGCAAGAAAUGGGCAGGGGAAAAAUAUCACAGUGUGUGUAUGUGUGUGUAUGUGUGUGUGUGUGUGUGUGUGAGAGAGAGAGAGAGAGACAGAGAGACAGAGAGACAGAGAGACAGAGAGACAGAGAGACAGAGACAAAGAGACAAAGAGACAGAGACAGAAAGAGACGAAGACACAGAGAAAAAGCCACAGUCCCCAAAGUGGGACUGAAGGUCAUGUGACUGGAGUCAUCAUAGAUUCUGUGCAGUCAGGCCACUGGGAUAGUCUAUAGUCUUUGGAAUGAGAACAGAUUGGCUAACCGGGAGAGACUGGGUCAGUCAGAGAGUAAAUCUCACCUCUGCUAAAGCAUGGCCUCCAAAGGACCUCAGAGCCUUAAGCUGGAGCUUCCUUAGGGGCUGAUGGUGCAGCCAGUCAGCUGUGACCAUCUGUGUUCCUUAGCUCCUGAUCCCUCUCUUUCUGGAGCAGCCUGCAAAGCUGUAGGAAGUGUUAAACUGCUAAAUAAAAAAGCAGCCAGGGAUGGCAUCUGUGCCCAGUGCCCCAACACAGACAGGUUUAGAAGAGACAGGCUUGCACUCAGAGUUGGGAAGUAGGCUUAUCACCCUGGACUCAAAUGAGACAUCUUCAAGAAGACUAGAGAUGACCAAAUAAAUUUAUUUUUUAGCCUAAAUAUGCCAGGAAUAUCCAUCCUGAAGUGUGACUUUUGGCUCAUCAAAGGGGUAAGGGGAAGACGCACCCUUAGAACUAUUGCUUAGAAAGUUUAAGCACUAGUUUGGAGAAACAUUAUCAUCUAGAAGGUAACUGUCUACCUACAGCAGCAUUGCUAGUGUUUUUACAUCUCAUUACAUGCAUUAGACAUAGACUCCAUACGGCCCUCUGAACGGUGGGUACCAUCGUUAUCACUUAAGUGUUUGAUAGGAGGCAGAAUAAUAUAUCAAUGCUGUAAGCAACUGAGGGGCAGCUCAGAGCUGGUGUGUGAGCCCAGAUCUCACUGGUCCAGUCGUACUAUGCUAGCCUGCACAUGGAUACAGCUUUGAAACCUAACACGGACAAAUUGCAUGAUAAAAGUGGGACUCGCCCGAUCCCUUUCAAAGGUGUUACUGUGUGCUCCAGUGAAUCAGAGUCCUUGGUAAUCGAAUCACUGAAAAGGCUGUGGUCUGUAGCUGUCAUUUUCCCACCUCUGUCUCUGCCUUUAGGCUACCUGUUUGUGCAUCUCAACCUCGGCACGAAGAUGACCAUCAUACCGUUUGGUUACGCCAAGCCUAAAUGAUAACCCAAUUUGACACUUGAUGGGAGGGAAACAUUUAGUGGAAGAACACGUAAUGAACAAUCUUCCUCUUACAGCAUCACUGCUGCGGGAGCCUAGUUUUACAAUAACUUUUAAUUGCACACCUCCAGGCUUGAAGUAUAAUUUAUUAUUCAUUUAUUCUUGAAAGAUUACAGGAAGUCUGACAUUUCUUACACACACACACACACACACACACACACACACACACACACACAGCACAGCAUUUGCUAGGGUCGUUCAUUAGAAUAGAUAAGUAAAUUAUCUAUUAUCAUUAUUGUCACUAUUCUUAUCCUUCCCUCUAUAAUCAAAUUGCCAUGGCAACCGUGAGCUGGAGGAAGAUUUACGCCUCUGACCGUGGUGCACAGGGUUUAGCGCACUGUAAGUCUGAAAAGUCCCCUCGGGGGUGGGGGACAAAAUGUAUGUAACAGCUUGCAUUUCCUCCGCCGCAGCUGAGCUGUGCCCUGAACUUCAUAAGCAGCCUGGGACACAUUGGGGAAUCCUUCAAAAUGAGCCACUCCACAACAUGUAGCACACGAAGGAACUAUUAUUGUUGUCUUCAAUUACCUCAAGUCCCGGGGAUCCUAAUAAAUGAAGACUCUGCAAUAAUGAAAUAAUAAAUUUUCAUUUAGAAGAAGUCACAAUCUGAAUAUCCUUAAUCCCUCUCCUAAACAUCCCAGUACCGGGCGAUGUUGCCCUUGACUGUCCUCGGGGCUGUCGGUAAGAUUGAAUCUUCAGUCUUUACCGAGUAAAUUCUUAACUCAAGGGAGUAUAAGAGGCCUGGGGAACAAAGGUGACAGGUAAAACGGUUUAAGAAAUUACCCUUUAAAACCGUGUCAGCGAUUGAUGGACUAACGAUUCCUUUAGCGGAUUGAGAGCUCACUGAAAUUAGACAGACAGGCAUGAUACCACAAAUCUGCAUGUUUCCUCAUCAUCAAAUGUUUCACAGAAGAAGUGAAGACAGAGAUGACAGGAGCAGGAAUAUCAGCACUUCUGAACGCCCAGACGUUGCUCAUUAUCUUUAAAGUUCUGACUAGGCUUAACAUUUCUGCUAUUUCAAAGGCUCAAUGCAACAAAGAUGUGGGCUCCAAGAACCAGUAAACUUUUCCACCAGCGCAGUCCCUCUCCUUCCCUUAUGGUUUAAAUGUUCUAUAAAACUUUCCUCCAGAUUGAAGCCUUGUGAGAAAAUUGGGGGGGGGGGUCUUUUUUUAAGACUCAGGAAAACAGCAAAAUAUACCAGUCUUAGGAAGAUCCUAAAACUUACAGGACUCACAAAGCUCCUCUCAAAGCUAUAUAAAUGUUAGCAAUUGCAGAAGAGGGGAACCUAUAAUCAGCUGGGCUGUAUAUUACCGCAAGAAGGAGGAGACAUAUGAUCAGCUAAGCUACAUGUCACACAUAGAACUCCAGGGACAGCUUUGGUGAGGCGUAACCAUACUGUGGUAGGCUUUCUGGUGAUGCAGCUGUGUUGAAGCCACACAUGCCUCACCUGUACUCAUAAGUAAUGUUUACAAAUUCACUGCUUUACUAACCUUGACUUGGUGAUAUUUCUUUGGUCUGUCGUCAGUGCCCUUUCUGGGUUGGGGUAGGGGGAGUAUGAAGUAUUUGUUCAUAUUUUCCCUAGAGAAGUCACAUAGCAAUGUGAAAAUGCCCCCUAGAGCAGUGGUUCACCAUCCAUGGAUUGCGACCCCCUUUGGGGAUCGCAAAUCAGACAUUUUCAUUACUAUUCAAAACAAUAGCAAAAUUACACUUAGGAAGUAGCAAUAAAAUACAUUUGUGGCUGGAGUUCACCACAACAUGAGGGACUGUGUUAUAGGGUCACAGCAUUAGGAAAUUUGAGAAACACUGUCCGAUAGGAUUAUGUGUGUGUAAUACUUGCCCCCCCACACACACACACACACUGGUGACGCAGUUUUUUAAAGUCGUGGAACCUUUACGAGGUGGAUCUUUGUGAGGUAAGUGGGUCACUGCGGGAUGAUGUUGAGGUUGUAUAGCGCACCCCACUUCCUGUCCCUACUCUUGCUUCCUGACUGCUUAUGUAAUGUGACCAGGAAGCCCACGAGUCUGCCACUGCGCCUUCCCCGUGAUGAAGCACUAUAAGCCCUCUUAAAAUAUAAAAUAAAUGCCAAAAGCAGCCCUCCCUCACGUAAGCAAGUGCUGAGUUACAGGACUGAGAAAAAUAACAGAUACGCCUCCCCCGCCACCUCCCUCACUAGUCUCCACUCUGAAGUAAAACUGUGAGUUAUAGAUUGCUUCGUCUUAUGUGUCCCCAAAGCUCGAUGGCUGUUCAAACAUCAACAUACAUAAAUUCCAUGUAAAAUUGUCAAAUAGAAUAAAACUUUAUGACUCAGUGAAUAUUGACCCUCAUUUACUCCAGGAACGUCGUUCUCCAUAAUGUGGUAAAAUCAGAAGUUAAAGCCCCAGGCCUUCCUUCCCAACUAAAAAGCCUUUAACUCAGAGUCAUAGCUAGUCUUUAUGUCACAAUCACACAAUCUAGAGUCAUCUGAGAGGAGAGACUCUCGGUUGAGAAAAUGCUUCCAUAAGAUCCAACGGUAGAGUACUUUCUUAACUAAUGACCAAUGGGUGAGGGCCCAGCCCAUUGGGUGAAUCCAUCCCUGGACUGGUGGUCUCCGGUUCUAUAAGAAAGCAGACUGGGCAAGUCAUGAGGAGCAAGUCAAGCACGCAGCUCUCCUUCACAGCCUCUGCAUGAGCCCCUGUCUCCAGGAACCCUCCCGCCCUGUUUGAAUCCCAGCCCUGGCUUCCCUCAGUGAACUGUGACUUUGGAUAUGUAGGCCAAAUAAAACAUUUCCUCCCCAA